CGGAAGAAGCGUUUUUGGCGCGAGUCUAUUUGAUUGUCAUCUGCAGCGCGCUAAUCUGAGUCUUCACUUGGGACUUAUUUUUGAAGAUUUUUUAAAUAAAAUAAAUAUUUGACUUGUUUAUUCGACGCAUAUAGGAAGAGUUUUGUCGACAACAUGCAGCGCAGUAUCGCAUCUUUUUUCCAGCCCAAGGGAAAGGACAAGGAUGUUCAGAAGACAGCCAGAAACGAGCAAGUGAAAAAGCCUGUCAAAAGCCCACUCAAGGCCCAAAACGCGGUCCUCCAGGAUGACUCGCCGAUCAAGAAGGUUGCCAAACGCAGCCGGCGAAUUCUGGACAGCGAUGAUGAUGAUGAUGACAAAGAAGAAGUGAACACUGCCAAACAAGUCAAAGACCAUCUCCUCAAGGCAGAGCCAACACCCAUGUCUCCUCCGCCGGCCCCCGCCACGCCCACCACGCCUGCCACGCCCGCCACAUCCCCGAGCACCCCCAACUCCACCUCGUCUUCUGGAGGCACCAACAUGCGCAAGACGGCCAGGAAGAUGUUCCCCAAGAGGAAACUGGAUGACAGCGACAGUCUAAAAGAGGACGAGACUGCCAGCGUAAAGACUGACGCUGUCGUGGAGAGGCAGCAGAACAAACGAGCUCGCGUGGACGGAGACGACGGUGACAACACGGAUGAGGUUGCCGAGGAAGAAAGAGAUGAGAAGGCGGCGGUGGAGCAGGUGAGGACGCCGGACAAAGACGUCGAGACGGCAGAGGAGGUGGACAAAAAGGUCAAUAGAGAGGAGCAGAAGAAAGACGAGGUCACAAAAGAGGAAGCUGAGAAAGCGCCAGUCAGCAGCUUCUUUGCUCCCAGAAAGGCUGCGGCCAAGACCCCGAAGAAGAGUGCAGAGAAGAAGGCGAUGACGGCGACCGUGAUGAUUUCCUCCCUGGGGAAAAACGGCAAAGACGCCAAAAGCGAGUCGACAGAAACGGACUACAACCCGUCCAGGGCCAACUACCACCCGUUGGAGCACGCCUGCUGGAAGGAGGGACAAAAUGCGCUCUGGUCUUCCCCCAGAGUGCCUUACCUGGCGGUGGCUCGCACUUUUGAGAAAAUCGAGGAGGACUCUGGCAGACUGAGGAACAUCGAGACUCUGGCCAACCUGUUCCGCUCUGUGCUUCUGCUGUCUCCAGAUGACUUGCUGUGCUGUGUGUACUUGUGCCUGAACCAGUUGGGCCCCGCCUACCUUGGCAUGGAGCUUGGCAUCGGGGAGACGGUGCUGAUGAAAGCUGUUGCGCAAGCCACAGGACGACAACUGGACAAGAUCAAAGCGGAGGCCCAGGAGCGCGGCGACCUUGGUCUUGUGGCCGAGAGCUCCCGAAGUAACCAGCGCACCAUGUUCAGGCCGGCCAGCCUGACGGCCGGCGGCGUCUUCAAGAAGCUCAAGGAGAUUGCAAGCAUGAGCGGCAACUCGGCCAUGAAUAAGAAGAUCGACAUUAUCAAAGGACUCUUUGUGGCCUGCCGCUUCUCUGAGGCCCGCUACAUCGUAAGGUCGCUCGCCGGCAAGCUGCGGAUCGGACUGGCCGAGCAGAGCGUCCUGUCUGCGCUGAGUCAAGCCGUGUGCCUCACCACACCCCAGAAAGGCACGUCCCCAGCCGUGAUGGACGUCGGCAAAGGGAUGACCACGGAGAGCAGGCGGGCUUGGAUCGAAGAGAAGUCUCUCAUUCUCAAGCAGACUUACUGCGAGAUGCCCAACUACGACAUCCUUCUCCCCGUCCUCCUUCGAGAAGGCAUCGACCAGCUUCCCAAUCACUGCAAGCUCACCCCAGGCGUACCCCUGAGGCCAAUGCUGGCACACCCCACUAAGGGAGUCGGGGAGGUGAUGAAACGCUUCGACGAGGCCGCGUUCACCUGCGAGUACAAAUACGAUGGCGAGCGUGCACAGAUUCACGUCCUGGAGAGUGGCGAGGUUCGCAUAUUCAGCCGCAACCAGGAAGACAACACCAGCAAGUACCCUGACAUCAUCUCUCGUAUCCCCAAGGUGAAGAAAGACUCGGUGGUCUCCUGCGUGCUUGACGCAGAGGCGGUGGCUUGGGACCACGAGAAGAAACAGAUCCAGCCAUUCCAGGUCCUCACCACACGCAAGAGGAAGGACGUGGAUGCCGCCGACAUCAAAGUCCAAGUGUGCGUGUACGCCUUUGAUCUCCUCUACCUGAAUGGAGAGUCCCUGGUACGGCAGCCGCUGCGUCGCCGUCGGGAGCUACUGCGAGAGUCCUUUGACCAAGCGGAGGGCGAGUUUUUAUUCGCCCGAUUCAUCGACUCGGACAACACGGACACCAUCGCCGAGUUCCUGGAGCAGUCUGUCCGAGACUCGUGCGAAGGCCUGAUGGUGAAGACUCUGGAGAAGGACGCUACCUAUGAAAUCGCCAAGCGCUCCCGUAACUGGCUCAAGUUGAAGAAGGACUACCUGGAGGGCGUCGGCGACACGGUGGACCUGUGCGUCAUCGGCGCCUACCUGGGCAAAGGCAAGCGGACGGGCAUGUACGGCGGCUUCCUGCUGGCCUGUUACGACCAAGACAACGAGGAGUUCCAGUCUGUCUGCAAGAUUGGGACCGGCUUCAAGGACGAAGAUCUGGAGCAGCACCACAAGUUCUUGAAGGAACACAUCCUGGCCAAGCCCCGCCCCUACUACCGCGUGGACCAAUCGGCCGAGCCAGAUGUGUGGCUGGACGCGAUGCAGGUCUGGGAGGUGAAGUGUGCCGACCUGUCGCUGUCGCCCGUCUACAAGGCUGCCAUGGGAAUGGUGGAUCCAGAGAAGGGAAUCUCCCUGCGUUUCCCUCGAUUCCUUCGCGUGCGAGAUGACAAGAAGCCCGAAGACGCCACCAGCGGAGCUCAGAUCGCCGACCUGUACAAGAAGCAGCAACAGAUCCAGAAUCAGGGAGACAAAGGCGACUUGGAGGAAUACUAUUGACCAGGUCACAAUACCCAUGGGUCGUUGGGAUCAGCCUGAAUUGCGCUUGUGACUGAAAUUCCAAAAUGUCCUCCUCCCUUCCCUCCCCUCCCCUCGGUGGCUGUUGUUGCCGCUGAAUGGGAAUCAAGCAGGCAGCAGAGCAGAAAAUAUUGAAAAUGCAAAUAUGGAAUGAGGUGUGCUCAAAGUCGCCGCGUUAUCGGCCUAAACUGCUCCAGCGCAGUCAAAGUUGCUGCGGGAAAGCCUUUUCCAGAGAAAAAUCUCGAAUUGUCAUGAUGAUGUCGUCUCAUUUUACUCGCAAAUGGAAGUUCUCUGCAUGAAGAUGAACCUGGAUCUGCAGAAAAGCGCAUCUGGAUUUGGACCUGAAUUCAAGGCCCGCUAAAUUGCGCUGGUCCGAAGACCAGCUGCUCGGCUCGCGUCGGGUCAGCUCAGGUCCGUUCUCGUCCACUUCCUGUAGGUGGACGUCGUCCCAACACUUUUGUCCGUUAUGGUGUCUGUGUCUUGCCCUCCCAAUGGUGUCUUUGUCAAGUGCGUUAACAAAGGCUUUGUUCUCCUCCGCCUCGUCGUCCUUCCAUCGUUCCUGGCCAACAAAGGCUUUGUUUUCCUCCUCCUCUUUCUCCGUCCCUCCCUCCCUCCUGGCCCUGGCUGUGACAUCGCUGCCAUUCCAGGCCGUGAGGGAGAGAGCUGGAGGGACACACGCCGCCAUUGUUGCUUUCUCGAUAUCAAUGGUGUUUUUCUUCACGGCGUUGGCCACUAACCUUUCGGAUCUCAUUCUGUUUUUUUAAACUUUACAGGCUGCCUUGCUCAUUGAAGUCAGGAAGCCUGCCUACCUGCCUGCCCCACAGCAAAAAAGAUCCAUUUGAGGCCAGGUUGCGACUUUCCAGAACCAAUUUAUUUGUUCACAUUCUCUUGUGAUUUCUUUCCCAAAUCAUGCGUUUAUACAAUGGAGUGGCUCCAAGAUGUUCUUGUCUUGUCCAGGAUCAAACUCCAUCUUGUAAAAUGAUCACAGAGGGAACAUUGAGGCCUUGGUUUUGCACACGAUGCAGCUCGUGACAGUCCCCCUUGGAGCAGCCCCAACCUGACACAUUUUUUUGCUUCAAGUUUGACCGGUGCCGUAGCAGAUGGUCCGUUCACUUGACGUCAGCAGACUCUAUUAGAAGAAGAGGUGAUUUGUCACCGGUGGACAAAAUGGCCACCACCAGGACCCGUGAGCAUGAAAGAGGUGCCAGGACCAGCGUGAUGAUCAAGACCUCCGUGUCUUCAUUGUCCCCCACCAUCAUCACUCACGUCAUGCGCCCCUUGGGUUUACAUCAUGACUAAUGAGUGCCACUAACGGCAAACCCGACGAUUGCAUGCAGCUCUGGGAAAAUGGAGCAAAAAUUGCUUCCAAUCCCUGCCAUGUGUGCUCACAUUACUAACACGUGCGUUUUGAAACCCGCCAACAAGAUGUCCCACGUUCUCCGGCCGAAUUGCCCUUCAUUUCUAU